UACGUAGGGAGCAAGCGUUGUCCGGAAUUACUGGGCGUAAAGGGCGUGUAGGCGGAUAAUUAAGUCAGGUGUGAAAACUCUGGGCUCAACCUAGAGAUUGCACUUGAAACUGGUAAUCUUGAGUGCAGGAGAGGGAAGUGGAAUUCCUAGUGUAGCGGUGAAAUGCGUAGAUAUUAGGAGGAACACCGGUGGCGAAGGCGACUUCCUGGCCUGUAACUGACGCUGAGGCGCGAAAGCGUGGGGAGCAAACAGGAUUAGAUACCCUGGUAGUCCACGCCGUAAACGAUGGGUACUAGGUGUAGGAGGUAUCGACCCCUUCUGUGCCGUAGUUAACACAAUAAGUACGCCGCCUGGGGAGUACGGCCGCAAGGUUGAA
rnacentral:rRNA from 1 species